rnacentral:rRNA from 1 species
CUUGACGACAAUAGAGCUGUGGAACCACCUGAAUCCAUUCCGAACUCAGAAGUGAAACGCAGUAUCGCCGAUGGUAGUGUGGGGCCUCCCCAUGC